rnacentral:rRNA from 1 species
CCUACGGGAGGCAGCAGUGAGGAAUAUUGGUCAAUGGGCGGGAGCCUGAACCAGCCAAGUCGCGUGAGGGAAGACGGUCCUAUGGAUUGUAAACCUCUUUAGGCGGGGAGCAAUGCCGGGCACGCGUGCCCGGAGGGAGAGUACCCGCAGAAUAAGCAUCGGCUAACUCCGUGCCAGCAGCCGCGGUACUACGGAGGAUGCGAGCGUUAUCCGGAUUUAGUGGGUUUAAAGGGGGCGUAGGCGGAUUUUUAAGUCAGCGGUAAAAUGUCCGGGCUCAACCCGGGCCGGCCGUUGAAACUGGGGAUCUUGAGUGGGCGAGAAGUAUGCGGAAUGCGUGGUGUAGCGGUGAAAUGCAUAGAUAUCACGCAGAACUCCGAUUGCGAAGGCAGCAUACCGGCGCCCGACUGACGCUGAGGCACGAAAGCGUGGGGAUCGAACAGGAUUAGAUACCCCAGUAGUC